GACGAACCGAGCGAACGUUGUUCGGAAUUACUGGGCGUAAAGGGCGCGUAGGCGGCCUUCUAAGUCGAACGUGAAAUCCCCGGGCUCAACCCGGGAACUGCGUCCGAUACUGGGAGGCUUGAAUCCGGGAGAGGGAUGUGGAAUUCCAGGUGUAGCGGUGAAAUGCGUAGAUAUCAGGAGGAACACCGGUGGCGAAGGUGGGUCUCUGGGCCGAUACUGACGCUGAGGCGCGAAAGCGUGGGGAGCAAACAGG
rnacentral:rRNA from 1 species